UUUUCCCUGUUAAAAGGGUGUUUUCCUUGCCACUGUCGCCUUUUGGCUUGCUCUGGGGGUCAGGCAUAUGGGUUCUGUAAAGCGUCUCGAGACAAUUUGACUGUAAUUGGCGCUAUAAAAAAAAAGAAAAAAAAAAAAAAAAAAAAAAAAAAACGGAGAUCCAGGAGUCGACUGGAAACUCUCCAGCAGGAAGAGUUCUAUUGUCGCUGACGAACACGAUGUCGACUCCAGACGGGGAAGCUGGAGGAAGGACCAGGAGGAGGAGGAAAGGUGUGGUCAAUUACCUCGAGCCGACUCUGAGGAGCAAACUGAGGCGAGGAGACGAACACACCGACAGCACGUUCCUCAGCUCCCCAAUGUUCAAGGACAAGAGGAAGAAGAAAACUGUCAGCAAAACCAAGACAGACAGACCCAUGUUACUGGACUGAUUAUUAUCAGUUUCUCUGUUUAACUUUAUUUUUAGUUGUUUUUUCAAGUUUGCCUUAAAGUUCAAUAAAGAUGUUUUCUGGUAAAUUUGAAGUAUCUUUAAAGUUUCUCCUGGAGGUCAGUCCAUUUAUAGUCUGUGUUACGUCAUCUAACAAAAAUAUGCAUUUUCUUUUCAUUUCUGACCAUUUUAUCGAUAAAAUUAUACUUGAGUCACUGAAACCACAACUAGUAAAACUAGUUAGAAAUCUAGUUGUUCUUCUCAAUUCUUUACAUUUUGGAUAAAACCUCCUUAGAAAACUCUGUAUUCUUUGUAGUGGAGGAAAUAUUUGUAGUACUUGAGUCAUUUUUAUUGCUUCUGUGCUUCUAGUACAAAUGUUUCACUCCACUAUAUUUAACGGCUGUUUCACUGAAGGGCUUUAACUAAUAAAUGUCAUCAAUUUAA
ensembl:lncRNA